CAGCCGCCACGGUAAUACAGAGGGUGCAAGCGUUAAUCGGAUUUACUGGGCGUAAAGGGCGCGUAGGUGGUUAUGUAAGUGAGAUGUGAAAUCCCCGGGCUCAACCUGGGAACUGCAUCUUAUACUGCGUAGCUGGAGUGCAGUAGAGGGUAGUGGAAUUUCCGGUGUAGCGGUGAAAUGCGUAGAUAUCGGAAGGAACACCAGUGGCGAAGGCGGCUACCUGGACUGACACUGACACUGAGGCGCGAAAGCGUGGGGAGCAAACAGGAUUAGAUACCCCUGUAGUCCCUGUCUCUUAUAC
rnacentral:rRNA from 1 species